CAUGCAAGUCGAGCGAGAAGCUAACUUCGGUUGGUGGACAGCGGCGCACGGGUGAGUAACGCGUGGGAAUUUACCUUUCGGCGGGGGACAACAGUUGGAAACGACUGCUAAUACCGCAUACGCCCUACGGGGGAAAGAUUUAUCACCGAAAGAUAGGCCCGCGUUAGAUUAGGUAGUUGGUAGGGUCAAAGCCUACCAAGCCGACGAUCUAUAGCUGGUUUGAGAGAACGAUCAGCCACACUGGAACUGAGACACGGUCCAGACUCCUACGGGAGGCAGCAGUGGGGAAUCUUGCACAAUGGGCGAAAGCCUGAUGCAGCCAUGCCGCGUGAGUGAGAAGGCCUUCGGGUUGUAAAACUCUUUUAGAUGUGAAGAUGAUGACGGUAACAUCAGAAAAAGCACCGGCUAACUUCGUGCCAGCAGCCGCGGUAAUACGAAGGGUGCUAGCGUUGUUCGGAAUUACUGGGCGUAAAGAGCGUGUAGGCGGCUUAGCAAGUUAGAGGUGAAAUCCCAGGGCUCAACCCUGGAACUGCCUUUGAUACUGCUAAGCUUGAGAUCGUGAGGGGAUAGCGGAAUACCCAGUGUAGAGGUGAAAUUCGU
rnacentral:rRNA from 1 species